AUUGAACGCUGGCGGCAGGCCUAACACAUGCAAGUCGAGCGGAUGAAGGGAGCUUGCUCCUGGAUUCAGCGGCGGACGGGUGAGUAAUGCCUAGGAAUCUGCCUGGUAGUGGGGGAUAACGUCCGGAAACGGGCGCCAAUACCGCAUACGUCCUGAGGGAGAAAGUGGGGGAUCUUCGGACCUCACGCUAUCAGAUGAGCCUAGGUCGGAUUAGCUAGUUGGUGGGGUAAGGCCUACCAAGGCGACGAUCCGUAACUGGUCUGAGAGGAUGAUCAGUCACACUGGAACUGAGACACGGUCCAGACUCCUACGGGAGGCAGCAGUGGGGAAUAUUGGACAAUGGGCGAAAGCCUGAUCCAGCCAUGCCGCGUGUGUGAAGAAGGUCUUCGGAUUGUAAAGCACUUUAAGUUGGGAGGAAGGGCAGUAAGUUAAUACCUUGCUGUUUUGACGUUACCAACAGAAUAAGCACCGGCUAACUUCGUG
rnacentral:rRNA from 1 species